UACGAAGGGGGCUAGCGUUGCUCGGAAUUACUGGGCGUAAAGGGCGCGUAGGCGGAUACUUAAGUCGGGGGUGAAAGCCCAGGGCUCAACCCUGGAAUAGCCUUCGAUACUGGGUAUCUUGAGUUCGGGAGAGGUGAGUGGAACUCCGAGUGUAGAGGUGAAAUUCGUAGAUAUUCGGAAGAACACCAGUGGCGAAGGCGGCUUUCUGGACGAUAACUGACGCUGAGACGGCGAAAGCGUGGGGAGCAAACAGGG
rnacentral:rRNA from 1 species